rnacentral:rRNA from 1 species
AUCUCAAAAAAGAAUUUUUAAUAAAAAAAAUAAUUUUAGUAAUAUAAGUUAAAGUAUUUUUAUAAAAAAUAAAAUUUUUUUUAAGUACCGUGAGGGGAUACUAAAUUAAUUUUAAAGUAGUAUUAAAUUUAUGUACCUUGUGUAUCAGGGUUUAUCAAAUUUAUUUUUUAAAAAAUUCAUCUCGAACCUUAAAGAUCUAAUUUAUUUAUAUUCUAGUAUUUAUUUCAUAAAGUAAUAAAAAAUUAAAUUAGUUGAAAAAGUCAUUUCAUUUUAAGAGAUAUCUAGUUUAUUAAGAAAUAAAUUCAAUUUAAUCUAAAAUUGUAAAUAUAAAAUCUUAUAAAAAUUUAUAAAAUUUAGAACUAUUUAAUUAGGGAUAAGCCUAAUUAAAGAAUUAUAGAACUCCAUUACUAUAGAAAAAUUUAAGGAAUAAAAAUAACCCCCAUUAGUUCCCUUAAAAAUUAAGGAAAGAAAUAGGUUAUUCAACGAAAUAAAAAUUUGAACUAAGAAUAUUUAAUUAAUUAAAUAUACUAUAAAUAAAAACGUAACAGAAAAAAUUUUCAGUGAACAAUAUUUUUCAGCUCUUAAAAUUUAUUAAUAUAUUUUAAAAAACUUCUAAAUAAAAAAAACAAUGAUAAAAUCAGUAAAUUUUUAAAGAUUACUUUAAAGAACUCGGCAAAUAACUCUUCCGACUGUUUACCAAAAACAACGCCUAGUGAUAAUUUUGAAUACUAGGUAUAGCCUGCUCAAUGAAUUUAGUUUUGAAUAGCCGCAAGUAGUUGCGCUAAGGUAGCAUAAUAACUUGCUUUUUAAUUGAGAGAUAGAAUGAAAGGUUGAACGAGAAGAAAACUUUCUCAAGGUAAAAAAAUUGAAGUUAACUUUUUAGUCAAAAGGCUUAAAUGAACUUGAAGGACGAGAAGACCCUAUAGAGCUUUAUUAAAUACCUCUUUGGAACCUUUUUAAAAGACCACUCUCAAAUGGAAAUACUAAUUUAACUGGGACAGUGAAACUAAACAACUAAUUAGCUUUCUAGACCACACUUAUAGGUGAUAUAAAUAAUAUGAUCCAAACUUUGAUUAGAAGAAUAAGCUACCUUAGGGAUAACAGCGUUAUUUUUCUAAAGAGUCCAAAUCGAUAGAAGACAUUGCGACCUCGAUGUUGGAUUAAGAUAAAUAAAAGGAGUAGAAACUUUAAUUAAAAAUUUGGUCUGUUCGACCAUUAAAAUCUUACAUGAUCUGAGUUCAGACCGGCGUAAGCCAGGUUGGUUUCUAUCCUCAAGAUAAAUUUCGUUACAGUACGAAAGGACCUGAUGAAAAAUUUAAAAUUUU